GGGAGGAUGCUGAUGAAACCAUAGACAGCGACAUGUAAUUCCAUUCUGAAAUAGCGAGAGAUCCAGUGGUGGAAAAAGCGAUGUCAAGAGUUUCCGAAAUAAAGCAAAGUAACACGCCAUUUAGGUUACUUUGCAUUCCAGCUCCCAGCGCACCAUUGGAGAGGGCUUUCAGUAAUUGCGGUCGCAUAAGUGGGCAGAGACGGAUUAAUCUGAAGCCCUCAUCAAUGAACGACAUGCUAUUCCUGCACAGACUCCAUUAGUAGUCGUAGUCUACAAAUUGUUUUUUAAUUCCGUUCAUUUUUUAUUUAUUCAUUUAGCUAAAUAUUUAAAAUUGGUCUAUUUUGUUAUUGAGGAAAAAUUAUUUUUUUGGUUUGUUUAAUGUUUGAGGAAAAGAAGGCAUUCUUAAGCAGUAUAGGCAAAUUUUUCUUUGAACAUGAAAUAAAUCCAGGUUUAUUAUUAUGUAAAUCAUUAGGCUAUACUAUAGCCUAAUAGGUAUAUUUUUAGGGGCCAAGCACCGAAGGUGCGAAGGCACCUAUUGUGUUUGUUGGCGUUAUUAUUAGGGGCCAAGCACCAAAGGUGCGAGGCACCUAUUGUUUCUGUUGGCGUUAUUAGGGGCCAAGCACCGAAGGUGCGAAGGCACCUAUUGUGUUCGUUGGCGUUAUUAGGGGCCAAGCACCGAAGGUGCGAGGCACCUAUUGUUUCUGUUGGCGUUAUUAGGGGCCAAGCACCGAAGGUGCGAAGGCACCUAUUGUGUUCGUUGGCGUUAUUAUUAGGGGCCAAGCACCGAAGGUGCGAAGGCACCUAUUGUGUUUGUUGGCGUUAUUAUUAGGGGCCAAGCACCGAAGGUGCGUAGGCACCUAUUGUUUUCGUUGGCGUUAUUAUUAUUAGGGGCCAAGCACCGAAGGUGCGAAGGCACCUAUUGUGUUUGUUGGCGUUAUUAUUAGGGGCCAAGCACCGAAGGUGCGUAGGCACCUAUUGUUUCCGUUGGCGUUAUUAGGGGCCAAGCACUGAAGGUGCGAAGGCACCUAUUGUGUUUGUUGGCGUUAUUAGGGGCCAAGCACCGAAGGUGCGAAGGCACCUAUUGUGUUUGUUGGCGUUAUUAUUAGGGGCCAAGCACCGAAGGUGCGUAGGCACCUAUUGUAAUCGUUGGCGUUAUUAUUAUUCUGCUUCUUCUUCUUCUUCUUCUUCUUCUUCUUCUUCCGCCGCAAGUCUAUGGCAGCCCAUAGAACCGAUUGCGGGAAAGUUGUAUAAUUUGGCACACUGAUAGAGGACAGUCCCAACAUUAACUAUAGCUAAUUUGAAGUCUCUAACUCCUACUCUCUAGCGCCACCACUUGUCCAAACUUUCAAUGUUUGUAUGCUAAUAACUUUUGAACCGUAAGCCAGAAAAUGGAAAUUCUUUUUUCCUCUGAAUCCUUGGCUCAUGCCAAGUCGAAAGAACCCCAAAAUUCAAAAAUCGCAAGGUUUAGUUUUUUCGCUAUUUUCAAUUAUUCGAAAAACCUACUUUUUCGAACUCGUCCUAGACGGUUAGUCCGAUUGCCACGAAAAUUGGCUCAGAUCAUCUUCAGACCAUGCUGGCAAAAAGUUAUGGAAUUCAAGUUGAUUCGUCCAACUGUUGUCGAAUGACACGUAAACAAAUUUGACGAAAAGCACGCAAACAUGCACGUGAGGCUAUAUCCCGGCAACGGUUUGUCAUAUUGAGACCAAACUUGGCGUGUGUUAUAACAAGCAUGAACUGAGACUACCUGCUGUGUUUCGACACAGCGCCACCUAGUGGUCAGGAGAUAUGAAAAAUGCAUAUUUUGGCUUAUAACUACUGAAUGGUUUGGCCAAAAAUCACACAACUGGUCUCUUUAGAUUCAGUGAGUCAUGUCGAGUCGAAUGAUAUCCAAUUUUCCUGUGUCGGCCAUUUUAGGCGUCGGCCAUUUUGAAUUAUGUUUCAAAAUGCUGUAUUUUUUGAACGCAGCAUUGUAUCGUUUCGCAAAUAAUUACAAAAAUAUUCGGCUCCAUGCCCUGAAGGUACUCAAAAAGUUUGGUGGCAGCGCCACCUUGUGGCCAAUAGUUAUAAUGAAAUAUCACAUAAACGCUAAUAACUUUUGAAUAAAUUAGUCUAUUAAAAUUAAAAUGGUCUCGCUAUAUUCUGUGGGUCAUGCAGAGAGUAUUGAUACCAAUAAUGUGAAAAUUGGCCUUACUUCCUGUCCGCCAUUUUGCUUAAUGUUGAAAACCUACUUUUUCGAACUCCUCCUAGACCGUUAGCCCAAUUUUCACCAAAUUUGACGUGAAUCAUCUUCAGACCAUGCUGGCAAAAAGUUAUGGAUUUUGUGUCGAUAUACGUAACGGUUCUCAUUUAGCGCAUCAACGAAUUUGCUGGAAGGGUGCCAAAAUGCAUUUGAGGCUGUAUCUCUGCAACACUUUGACAUAUUUGCACCAAACUUUGUAUGUGUCAUCGCCACCUCACACUGACCAUGCCACAUAAAUUUGGUAACAGCGCCACCUAUUGGUCAAGAGUAAUAAACCAUUCAUUAACCAUGAGUAAUUACACUUUUUAAAAUGCUAAUAACUUUUUAGUCCAUUAGCCUAUUGCAAAGAAACUGGGCUCAAAAUAUUCCCUGGCUUAUGCCGAUAACAUAGAUACCAAAUAUGCCAGUGUUUACUGAAGUUCCGGUCCACCAUUUUGAUUUAUGUGGAAAACCUACUUUUUCGAACUCCUCAUGAACCGUAUGUCCAAUUUUCACCAAAUUCGAAUCAGAUGAUCUUCAGACUAUGUUGACACAAAGUUAUGGAUUUUGUGUCGAUAGACAAAACCGUUUUCGCAUACCAAAGCGACGAAGUUGAAACACAAUGACAAAAUGACACUUGAGGCUGCAUCUCUGGAAUGCUGUGGCAUAUUAACACCAAACUUUGUGUGUGUCAUUGAAAAGUCAAACAGAGUACACCAAAUUGAUUUCAUAACAGUGCCACCUAUUGGUCAAACUUUAUAAGCCAAGUAAUCAUGCUACUAGAGGUGGUAUUAUGAUUUUUUUUUGCCAUUUCAAUUACAAUAAUUCCAAAAUUACUGUUAUUGCUCAUUAAUGUAUUUGGUGUGAUGCUUUAUGCGAUGCUUAGCUACUACAUUUGCCGUUGGAGUGCUUGGCCCCGUAAUUGCUGCUUGCAGCUAUAUUUAUUAUUCUUCCUCUUCUUCCACCCCAAGUCUAUGGUAGCCCAUAGAACCGAUUGCGGGAAAGUUGUAUAAUUUGGCACACUAAUAGAGGACUGUCUGAACAUUAACCGUAGCAAAUUUGAAGUCUCUAACUCAAACUCUCUAGCGCCACCAAUUGUCUAAACUUUCAAAAACUUGAUGCUAAUAACUCUUGAACCGUAAGCCACAAAAUGAAAAUUCUUUUUUCCUGUGAUUCCUUGGCUCAUGCCGAGUCGAAUGGACACCGAAAUUCAAAAAUCGCAAGGUUUAGUUUUUUCGCUAUCGUCAAUUGUUCGUAAAACCUACUUUUUCGAACUCGUCCUAGGCCGUUGCACCGAUUGUCACGAAAAUUGAAUCAGAUAAUCUUGAGACCAUGCUGGCAAAAAGUUAUGGAAUUCAAGUUGAUUUCUCAAACCGUUUCCGAAUAGCUCAUGAACGAAUUCUUCGAAAAGCACGCAAACGUGAACGUGAGGCUAUAUCUCCGCAACGGUUUGGCCUAUUGAGACCAAUCUUGGUGGGUCUUAUAACAACCAUUCCCUGGGACUACCUGCAGUGUUUCGGCGCUGUGCCCCCUAGUGGUCAGGAGAUAUGAAAAAUGCAUGUUUUUGCUCAUAACUUCUGAACGGUUUUGCCAAAAAUCACAAAAGUGGUGUCUUUAGAUUCAGUGCAUCAUUCCGAGUCGAAUGAUACCGAAUUUUCCCAAUUCGGCCAUUUUGGGCGUCGGCCAUUUUGGAUUUAGUUGUAAAUUGCUGUAUCUUAAGAAUGAAGUUCCGUAUCGUUUCGCAAAUAAUUACAAAAAUGUCCGGCUCCAUGCCCUGAAUGUACACAAAAAAAUUGGGGGCAGCGCCACCUUGUGGUCAAUAGUUAUAACGAUUUUUUUGAAAAAUGCUAAUAACUUUUGCAUACAUUAGCCUAUUGUAACAAAGCUGAUGUUGAUAGAUUCCUUGGGUCAUGCCGAGAACACCGAUACCCCAUUUGUCAAUUUUGGCAAAAUUUCCUGUCCGCCAUUUUGAUUCAUGUUGAAAACCUACUUUUUCGAACUCCUCCUAGACCGUUGCUCAGAUUUUCACCAAAUUUGAUUUGGAUCAUCUUCAGACCAUGCUGGCAAAAAGUUAUGGAAUUUGUGUCGAUACACGUAACCGUUUUCAAUUAGCGUACCAACGAAUUUGCUGGAAAGAUGCCAAACUGCAUCUGAGGCUGUAUCUCUGCAAAGGUUGGAGAUAUUUACACAAAACUUAAUAUGUGACAUUGUCACAUCACAUUGACCACGCCACAUCAUUUUGGUCACAGCGCCACCUAUUGGUCAAGAGUAAUAAACCAAUCAAUAACCGCUAAUUAUUACAUUUCCAAUAAUGCUAAUAACUUUUGAUUGCAUUAGCCUAUUAUCAUGAAACAUGUCUCAAAAUGUUCCUUGGGACAUGCCGACAACAUACAUACCAAUUAUGUCAUAUUAAGCAAAACUUCCUGUCCGCCAUUUUGAUUCAUGUUGAAAACCUUUUUUUUUAAACUCAUCCUCAACCGUUUGUCUGAUUUUCACCAAAAUUGAAUCAGAUCAUCUUCAGACCGUGCUGACAAAAAGUUAUGGAUUUCGUGUCAAUAGACGAAAACCGUUUUUGUACAGCGCUGCUUCAGAUGUCAGGCAUCUUCACAAAAUGAGUCUGAGGCUAUAUCUCUGCAAAGCCCAUUAGUGGUCUUCCAGUGACAUCUAGUGGUCGUAAAUGCUCUUUAACCUUUAUAACUGUUAUAUGUUGUCUUAAUUUCAUUCCAAAGAAGCAUACGCAAUUUAUGUAUAAUUUCACAGUCUAGAUAAUAGUACUGCACUGAUUUUAAAUAACCUAGAUAUGGCUGACAGUAAAAGAAUAGAACAGAAUUACAGACACACACACCAACAUGAAAUGUUUAAACUACUAUAUUAAUACUCAAUAAGCAUGCUUAAACCCACACACAGAUGCACACAUUUUGUUAUAUAUAUAGAUAAUUAAAAUAAAUGAUGGGUGAUAAAACCUAUUGCAAGUCUUCUGUUUUUAUGGGCUUCUAUGUCAUUUUUCAGGUUUCAUUGCAAUCAUAAUCUGGCAUAAUUAUAAACAUUAGAUAUAUCUGUAUGAAUAAAUUGGUAAACUUUGACUCAAUGUGAUCUGAAAUGCUUGAACAGUAAUAUUAAAUAAUAGUAAUAUACAUUUUUUCUAGAUGAAUCCCUCAACAAGCCCAUAAACUGUAAUGUUUUAGUCUUUAGUGAGCUCAUUAGUGGUCUUCAGGUGACAUCUAGUGGAUAUAAUUGCAAUUUUUUAUUCAACACUGGGUUUUGAAGCUUUAUAAAUAUUACAGUGUUCUUUUUUACCUAAUCUCUGUUAAAUUUUGCAUGAUUGUUUAGAAAAAAUACAGAUCUAAUGCAUGUGUGAUUAUAUUACCCUUUUUUUUUGCAGUUUAAUGCCAUUCACAACAGAAAUCUUUUGUUUUUUAGACCUGUUUAAAUGUUAUCUAACCAAAGGACAAAAUACAACAUAUUUUUUCAAAGUUAUUGAUCUAGAGAGUCCUGAGAAUAUUACUGCAGUGGUUUGAUCAAGACUGAACAAAAAACCAGGUGACCCAAAACAUUCAAAUUCGUGGACCAAUUUUAUGAAAAAGGCUAUAACUCGGGAACAAAAUGAGAUAUCUUCACCAAACUCAGAACUCAUAUGCAUGAACAAAAACUUUAGUCAAAUUAUUAUUUUUUCCAUAUCUGCUACUUGGUGGCGCUACAGGAUAAAAAAAAAAAACUAAAAUGGCUAUAACUAAGCAACCGCUGAUCCAAUCAACUUGAAAAUUGGUAUGGCCCAAUGUGGCAUAAGUGUCUAUGAGGAAUUUCACUUAUCUUAAAAAACAUGGCCGCCAUUGGCCAAACAACUUUAAGCACCUAUUUGACAAGGUUAAUGGAAGUCGAUCGGAACGAAACUCGGUGGGCAUGUUCGACUCAUUGCCCUAAAGGUCUGUAAGUAUUUUGAAAGAAAUUGCCCACAACAUUGUCACCUCCCACAGAACACAACAAAGCAAUUUGAUUACAGCGCCAACUAUUUUCCAAAAAUGAUAAUGCAUCAUUUUACUGGAGUUUUACUGGCUGUUUCAAUUACACUCUUCCAAUAAUUGCUUUUCUUACUCGUUGCAUUUGGUCUGAUGCUCCAUGCCAUGCUUAGCUCCUCGCUGUGGAACUUUUAUUAACGAUUUUCAGCCAUUUCAAUUACAAUCAUGCAAUUAUUAAUUUCAUUAUUCAUUGUUGCAUUUGGUCUGAUGCUACAUAUGCUUAGCUCCUGAUGUUGCCGCUGGAAUGCUUGGCCCCGUGAUUGCUGCUUGCAGCUAUAUUUCUUCUUCUUCUUCUUCUUCCGCCGCAAUUCUAUGGCAGCCCAUAGAACCGAUUGCGGGAAAGUUGUAUAAUUUGGCACACUGAUAGAGGACAGUCCCAACAUUAACUAUAGCAAAUUUGAAGUCUCUAUCUCCUACUCUCUAGCGCCACCACUUGUCCAAACUUUCAAUGUUUGUAUGCUAAUAACUUUUUAACCGUAAGCCAGAAAAUGGAAAUUCUUUUUUCCUCUGAAUCCUUGGCUCAUGCCGAGUCGAAUGGACACCAAAAUUCAAAAAUCGCAAGGUUUAGUUUUUUCGCUAUUUUCAAUUAUUCGAAAAACCUACUUUUUCGAACUCGUCCUAGACGGUUAGUCCGAUUGCCACGAAAAUUGGCUCAGAUCAUCUUCAGACCAUGCUGGCAAAAAGUUAUGGAAUUCAAGUUGAUUCGUCCAACUGUUGUCGAAUGACACGUAAACAAAUUUGACGAAAAGCACGCAAACAUGCACGUGAGGCUAUAUCCCGGCAACGGUUUGUCAUAUUGAGACCAAACUUGGCGUGUGUUAUAACAAGCAUGAACUGAGACUACCUGCAGUGUUUCGACACAGCGCCACCUAGUGGUCAGGAGAUAUGAAAAAUGCAUAUUUUGGCUUAUAACUACUGAAUGGUUUGGCCAAAAAUCACACAACUGGUCUCUUUAGAUUCAGUGAGUCAUGUCGAGUCAAAUGAUAUCCAAUUUUCCUGUGUCGGCCAUUUUAGGCGUCGGCCAUUUUGAAUUAUGAUUUAAAAUGCUGUAUUUUUUGAACACAGCAUCGUAUCGUUUCGCAAAUAAUUACAAAAAUAUUCGGCUCCAUGCCCUGAAGGUACUCAAAAAGUUUGGUGGCAGCGCCACCUUGUGGCCAAUAGUUAUAAUGAAAUAUCACAUAAAUGCUAAUAACUUUUGAAUAAAUUAGUCUAUUAAAAUUAAAAUGGUCUCGCUAUAUUCUGUGGGUCAUGCCGAGAGUAUUGAUACCAAUAAUGUGAAAAUUGGCCUUACUUCCUGUCCGCCAUUUUGCUUAAUGUUGAAAACCUACUUUUUCGAACUCCUCCUAGACCGUUAGCCCAAUUUUCACCAAAUUUGACGUGCAUCAUCUUCAGACCAUGCUGGCAAAAAGUUAUGGAUUUUGUGUCGAUAUACGUAACGGUUCUCAUUUAGCGCAUCAACGAAUUUGCUGGAAGGGUGCCAAAAUGCAUUUGAGGCUGUAUCUCUGCAACACUUUGACAUAUUUGCACCAAACUUUGUAUGUGUCAUCGCCACCUCACACUGACCAUGCCACAUAAAUUUGGUAACAGCGCCACCUAUUGGUCAAGAGUAAUAAACCAUUCAUUAACCAUGAGUAAUUACACUUUUUAAAAUGCUAAUAACUUUUUAAUGCAUUAGCCUAUUUGAAGGAAACUGGGCUCAAAAUAUUCCCUGGCUUAUGCCGAUAACAUAAAUACCAAAUAUACCACGGUAAGCUGAACUUCCGGUCCGCCAUUUUGAUUUAUGUUGAAAACAUACUUUUUCGAACUCCUGAUCAACCGUAUGUCCGAUUUUCACCAAAUUCGAAUCAAAUGAUCUUCAGGCUAUACUGAUUCAAAGUUAUGGAUUUUGAGUCGAUAGACAAAACCGUUUUCGCAUACCACAUCGACGAAUUUGAGGCACAAUGAGAAAAUGACACUUGAGGCUGUAUCCCUGGAAUGCUUUGGCAUAUUGACACCAAACUUUGUGUGUGUCAUUGAAAAGACACACAGAGUACACCAAAUUGAUUUUAUAACAGUGUCACCUAUUGGUCAAGCUUGAUAAACCAAGUAAUCAUGCUACUAGAGGUGGUAUUGGGUUUUUUUUUUUUUUUGCCAUUUCAAAUACAAUAAUUCCAAAAUUGCUGUUAUUGCUCAUUAAUGUAUUUGGUGUGAUGCUUUAUGCGAUGCUUAGCUACUACAUUUGCCGUUGGAGUGCUUGGCCCCGUAAUUGCUGCUUGCAGCUAUAUUUAUUAUUAUUCUUCUUCUUCCACCCCAAGUCUAUGGUAGCCCAUAGAACCGAUUGCGGGAAAGUUGUAUAAUUUGGCACACUAAUAGAGGACUGUCUGAACAUUAACCGUAGCAAAUUUGAAGUCUCUAACUCAAACUCUCUAGCGCCACCAAUUGUCUAAACUUUCAAAAACUUGAUGCUAAUAACUCUUGAACCGUAAGCCACAAAAUGAAAAUUCUUUUUUCCUGUGAUUCCUUGGCUCAUGCCGAGUCGAAUGGACACCGAAAUUCAAAAAUCGCAAGGCUUAGUUUUUUCGCUAUCGUCAAUUGUUCGUAAAACCUACUUUUUCGAACUCGUCCUAGGCCGUUGCACCGAUUGUCACGAAAAUUGAAUCAGAUAAUCUUCAGACCAUGCUGGCAAAAAGUUAUGGAAUUCAAGUUGAUUUCCCAAACCAUUUCCGAAUAGCUCAUGAACGAAUUCUUCGAAAAGCACGCAAACGUGAACGUGAGGCUAUAUCUCCGCAACGGUUUGGCCUAUUGAGACCAAUCUUGGUGGGUCUUAUAACAACCAUUCCCUGGGACUACCUGCAGUGUUUCGGCGCUGUGCCCCCUAGUGGUCAGGAGAUAUGAAAAAUGCAUGUUUUUGCUCAUAACUUCUGAACGGUUUUGCCAAAAAUCACAAAAGUGGUGUCUUUAGAUUCAGUGCAUCAUUCCGAGUCGAAUGAUACCGAAUUACCGAAUGAAGUUCCGUAUCGUUUCGCAAAUAAUUACAAAAAUGUCCGGCUCCAUGCCCUGAAUGUACACAAAAAUUGGGGGCAGCGCCACCUUGUGGUCAAUAGUUAUAACGAUUUUUCGAAAAAUGCUAAUAACUUUUGCAUACAUUAGCCUAUUGUAACAAAACUGAUGUUGAUAGAUUCCUUGGGUCAUGCCGAGAACACCGAUACCCCAUUUGUCAAUUUUGGCAAAAUUUCCUGUCCGCCAUUUUGAUUCAUGUUGAAAACCUACUUUUUCGAACUCCUCCUAGACCGUUGCUCAGAUUUUCACCAAAUUUGAUUUGGAUCAUCUUCAGACCAUGCUGGCAAAAAGUUAUGGAAUUUGUGUCGAUACACGUAACCGUUUUCAAUUAGCGUACCAACGAAUUUGCUGGAAAGAUGCCAAACUGCAUCUGAGGCUGUAUCUCUGCAAAGGUUGGAGAUAUUUACACAAAACUUAAUAUGUGACAUUGUCACAUCACAUUGACCACGCCACAUCAUUUUGGUCACAGCGCCACCUAUUGGUCAAGAGUAUUAAACCAAUCAAUAACCGCUAAUUAUUACAUUUCCAAUAAUGCUAAUAACUUUUGAUUGCAUUAGCCUAUUAUCAUGAAACAUGUCUCAAAAUGUUCCUUGGGACAUGCCGACAACAUACAUACCAAUUAUGUCAUAUUAAGCAAAACUUCCUGUCCGCCAUUUUGAUUCAUGUUGAAAACCUUUUUUUUUAAACUCAUCCUCAACCGUUUGUCUGAUUUUCACCAAAAUUGAAUCAGAUCAUAUUCAGACCGUGCUGACAAAAAGUUAUGGAUUUCGUGUCAAUAGACGAAACCGUUUUUGUACAGCGCUGCUUCAGAUGUCAGGCAUCUUCACAAAAUGAGUCUGAGGCUCUAUCUCUGCAUAUACACACACACACACACACAGAGAGAGAAGUACAUGCCCACACAUUUUGUUGUAUGUAGAUAUUUGAAAUAAAUUAUAGGUGACACACAACUCACAGAAAGACUUCUUUUCUUACAUUUCUAUGUCAGGUUUCAUUGCAUUCAUAUUCUGACAUAAUAGUAAACAUUUGAUAUACAUGUAUGAAUAAAUUGUUGAACUUUCACUCAAUGUGAUCUUAAAUGCUUGAACAGUAAUAUUAAAUAAUAGUAAUAUAUAUUUUUCUAGAUGAAUCAAUCAUCGAGACAAUGUACUGUAAUGUUUUAGUCUUUAGUGAGCCCAUUAGUGGUCUUCCAGUGACAUCUAGUGGUCGUAAAUGCAAUUUAUCAUACAACACUGUCUCUUUAACCUUUAUAACUGUUAUAUGUUGUCUUAAUUUCAUUCCAAAGAAGCAUACGCAAUUUAUAUAUAAUUUCACAGUCUAGAUAAUAGUACUGCACUGAUUUUAAAUAACAUAGAUAUGGCUGACAGUAAAAGAAUAGAACAGAAUUACAGACAAACACAAACAUGAAAUGUUUAAACUAGUAUAUUAAUUCUCAAUAAGCAUGCUUAAACCCACACACAGAUGCACACAUUUUGUUAUAUAUAUAGAUAAUUAAAAUAAAUGAUGGGUGAUAAAACCUAUUGCAAGUCUUCUGUUUUUAUGGGCUUCUAUGUCAUUUUUCAGGUUUCAUUGCAAUCAUAAUCUGGCAUAAUUAUAAACAUUAGAUAUAUCUGUAUGAAUAAAUUGGUAAACUUUGACUCAAUGUGAUCUGAAAUGCUUGAACAGUAAUAUUAAAUAAUAGUAAUAUAAAUUUUUUCUAGAUGAAUCCCUCAACAAGCCCAUAAACUGUAAUGUUUUAGUCUUUACUGAGCUCAUUAGUGGUCUUCCGGUGACAUCUAGUGGUUGUAAUUGCAAUUUUUUAUUCAACACUGGGUUUUGAAGCUUUAUAAAUAUUACAGUGUUCUUUUUUACCUAAUCUCUGUUAAAUUUUGCAUGAUUGUUUAGAAAAAAUACAGAUCUAUUGCAUGUGUGAUUAUAUUACCCCUUUUUUUUUUUUGCAGUUUAAUGCCAUUCACAACAGAAAUCUUUUGUUUUUUAGGCCAUUUUAACUGUUAUAGCACCAGCUAUUUUCUGAUCUUAAUGAAACUUUGCAUGCUUGGUGGGUCAUCUUUCACA